UGAAUACGAGAUGCUACGGCGUCGAAGCAGUCUAUGUCAUACUUCCAAGAAAAGCUUGCACUGUCAUAAACAAAUAAUGCCUGUACCAUAACCGACACAGGUGGGUAGGUAGAGUAUACUAAGGGGCGCGAGAUAACUCUCUCUAAGGAACUCGGCAAAAUGACUCCGUAACUUCGGGAGAAGGAGUGCCUUAUUUAUAAGGUUGCAAUAACAAGAUCCAAGCAACUGUUUACCAAAAACACAGGUCUCCGCUAAGUCGUAAGACGAUGUAUGGGGGCUGACGCCUGCCCAGUGCCAGAAGGUUAAAGAAGUUGGUUAGCAUCCGCGAAGCUGAUAACUGAAGCCCUGGUGAACGGCGGCCGUAACGAUAACGGUCCUAAGGUAGCGAAAUUCCUUGUCGGGUAAGUUCCGACCCGCACGAAAGGCGUAAUCAUUUGGAUACUGUCUCGGAGAGGGGCUCGGUGAAAUAGACUUGUCUGUGAAGGAUGCGGACUACCUGCACCAGGACAGAAAGACCCUAUGAAGCUUUACUGUAACCUGAAAUUGAAAUUGGACUUUACUUGCGCAGUAUAGGUGGGAGGCGUUGAGAAUAUUCCUGCGGGAUUAUUGGAGCCAUCAGUGAGAUACCACUCUUGUAAUGUUAGAUUUCUAACUUUGUAUCAUUAUCUGGUCAAAGAACAGUUUCAGGCGGGCAGUUUGACUGGGGCGGUCGCCUCCUAAACGGUAACGGAGGCGCACAAAGGUUUCCUCUGAACGGGUAGAAAUCGUAUCUAGAGUGUAAAGGCAUAAGGAAGCUUGACUGUGAGACCUACAAGUCGAGCAGGGACGAAAGUCGGUCUUAGUGAUCUGACGGUGCUGAGUGGAAAGGCCGUCACUCAACGGAUAAAAGUUACUCUAAGGAUAACAGGCUGAUCUCCCCCAAGAGUUCACAUCGACGGGGAGGUUUGGCACCUCGAUGUCGGCUCAUCGCAUCCUGGGGCGGUAGUACGUCCCAAGGGUUGGGCUGUUCGCCCAUGAAAGCGGUACGCGAGCUGGGUUCAGAACGUCGUGAGACAGUUCGGUCCAUAUCCGGUGUAGGCGUUAGAAUAUUGAGAGGAGCCUUCUUUAGUACGAGAGGACCGAGAAGGACAUACCUCUGGUGUACCAGUUAUCGUGCCAACGGUAAACGCUGGGUAGCUAUGUGUGGAGUGGAUAACCGCUGAAAGCAUCUAAGUGGGAAGCCCACCUCAAGAUAAGUAUUCUCA
rnacentral:rRNA from 1 species